rnacentral:lncRNA from 1 species
CUUGGUGUAACUAAUUAAACUGUUGAAAUUAUAAAUUUCCACUUUGUCGUGUAAUGGAACGUCUAUAAAUAAGCUUGCGUUUUACGUAUAAGUUUGCGUUCUGCCCCUUUCCAAACCUUCCUUUUUAUCUUCCAUUGCGUUCUAGAUGGUGCGAAAACUCUAAACUGAUGGCUGCUCCACUAAUGGAGAUGGUCAUAUCCGUCGAACGCAGAGACAGAUUCUCCGGGAAAGAGAGAUCAUAGAUCUCACGUAUGAGGACGACGACAUCUACGAGACGCUGUUUGAACCCUCGCACUCCACCAGUUACGAUGGAGUACGAGGCAUUCUCACUUGCUCAACCAGGAAGCCAACGCAACAUUGUCCGUUUGACAUCUCGUCGUCGUCCUCCGCCGCCUCCACCUUCGCCUGCGCUAGCGCCUAUGUCUCAGCCUGCACCAGAGAUUCCGGAAUACGUUCCGGAGCAACCAUCGACGCAUCAAAACGAUGUGGUGGUAUGUCCUCAAUGUGGAUACUUGUUCAUCGCCUUCCUUUACACCGCUGCAUCAAGUCUUCUGAACUUGCGGGAUACUGAUCCCGUGGAGCCGUUAAACUUCGACUAGCUGGACGACGUGGAGCUCGGAGACCCUUAGAGUUGGUGGUCGAGGGUCGCAGAAGUAGGCCUAGACGAAGCAGAUCUAUUGUUAGCUGGGAAAAAAUUUGUUUAAACUAUGUUUUGAAGGUAGAUCUUGUGAAUUUCAAGACUAUCAUAUCCAUCUUAGACUUUGAUAUCUUAUGUAUGCGUUUUUAAAACUUUGAUAUCUAUUAUGUAUUUGUUUUCAAGACUUCGAACUUCUUUAUCGCGCGUUCUCUUCCGUCGACGGCGGAUCUAUAAUGUAGAUAAAAAGUGGAACGACUUAGGUGUUUGCAAGAAAUAUUAAAUUUAGUAUCAAAAAAUAUCAGUUGUAGAUAGAGUCAUAAAAUAUCAGAGAAGAAGACUCAGGUGUUUGCAAGAAAUUUUUUUCCUUGCUAAUGCAAAUACAAUGUUAGGGUUAUAUAGGUGCAAGUUCAAAAUUUCCUAAUAUAUCAACAGUUUUAUGGUUUCUCAGGUACGAUCGAGAAGUUUUAGGGUUUCUCGGGUUACGAUUAAUAAUAUUAGAUAAAACAUUAUAUUAGAUAAAUAAUAUAUUAGAUAAUAUAUUAACAACCGUUAACAACGGAAGUAUGAUUAAUUGAUAAUAUUAGAUAAAUAAUGUUUACUUGAUUAAACAUUAUUAUACUUGCUAGGUCAACGGUGACGUAUUAUAUCAACAAAGAAUUAUUUUUAAUACUAUUGUUAGAUUUAAUAUUUUCUACAUAUUAAAUAAUAAUAAUUAUUAUUAGGUUUAAUAUUAGUGUAAAUUAGUAAUUCUUUUAUACUUUUUCAUUAGGUUUAAUGUUUUUAAACUAUUCAUAUUAAUAAUAUUAUUAGUGUAAAUUAGUAAUCAUAUUAUAAUGAUAAUAAUAUUAUUAUUAUUGGUAUUUAUCUAAUAAUGAUAUUAUUAGUAUUAAUAAUAUUCAUAUUUAUCUAAUAUUGAUAUUAUUAGUAUUUAUCAUAUUCACAAGAGUAAUAAUGAUAUUAUUAUUUAUUACUAUUGAUUAUGUUAGUAUUAAUUUAUUUUGGUAGAUUAAAAUAAUUACUUGAUUUUCAAUUAAAAUAAUAUAUUAUCCAUUGCAAAAUAACAAUAAUGAGUAAUCAAAACAAAGAUAAAGAGAUGCUAAUGUUGAAUGGACAGCAAGAAAAUAUUUUCAGGUAAAUUUUAUCAUAGGGUUAAUCUUAUAUUUAAUUUUAAUUUCUUAUAGUUAAUUUUAAAUUAUAUUAAUAUUUGGUUAAAUUAAUUUACUACAUUACUAUAUAUUCGGUAAAUUAAUUCAUGAUACUAAUAGAGAAUUUACCUUUUUACAAAACGGGGAAAUUAUUUGAAACAAUAGAGCAAGCAGAAUCAGAGUACUACGAACAAGAUGGCAAAUUGGGUUUUUCUGUAAGGUCAACCACAAGGGAAAAAGCCAAUGAGGUGGUAUAUAAGAAAUAUAUUUGUUCGAAGGCAGGUAUAUCAAUAAUACAUAGAGUAGAAACGACUAUGGACUAUGGUAAAAGGAAAAGACUGCUUAGGAACACACGAACAGACUGCAAAGCAUUCAUUAUUUUCAAAAAAGUAGAAAAUAUAUGGGUAGUUACAACAUUCAAUCAUGAACACAAUCAUGAUUUGGCGACUCCGUCGAAAAAAAGACUUCUUGCAGUAAACAGAAAAAUUGAACCAUUCAUACGUAAUAUCAUCCAUGAUCUUGAAGAUUCAAAUAUAACGUCAAAUCAACAAUUUUCUUACACUACAAAAAAAGGACCUUGUAUGGAGGUCUUUAGAUAUCCGCCAUCUAAAGUGAUAGUCGGCGGAAAUUCGUUAUCUAAAGACCGCCAUCUAGGAAACCGUCAUUAAAACCCCAUAACCGCCAUCCAAAGACCGCUAUCUAUUAUCCAUCCCCAUUUCUCACCAAAAAUUGUAUAGAUCGCCAUCUAAUCUGAAAUUUUUUGCGGGAACUGAAAAUUUUUAGAUGGCGGAAAUCCGUCAUCUAAAAUAUGACGCGGAAAAAGUUUGGCGUCAAUUCAUUGAUGACGGUUAAUUUUAUUGAUGGCGGAUGUCCGCCGACUAUCUUUGUAACAUUAGAUGACGGAUUUCCG